AGGUGAGUGUGCGUGUGUGUGUAGGUUUUGGGGGUGGGGUACUGUUUGAUCAGGGUGUGGCUGUCCCUGGUGGAAGGUGUGUGUGUGUGUGUGUGCAGGUUUGAUCAGGGUGUUACUGUCCAUGGUGGAAGGUGAGUGUGAGUGUGUGUGUGUGUAGGUUUGUGGGCGUGGGUACUGUUUGAUCAGGGUGUUGCUGUCCAUGGUGGACGGUGGGUGUAUGUGUGUGUGUGCAGGUUUGAUCAGGGUGUUGCUGUCCAUGGUGGAAGGUGUGUGUGUAGCUUUGGGGGUGGGGUACUGUUUGAUCAGGUUGUGGUUGUCCCUGGUGGACGGUGAGUGUGUGUGUGUGCAGGUUUGAUCAGGGUAUUGCUGUCCAUGGUGGAAGGUGAGUGUGUGUGUGUGUGUUGGUUUUGGGGGUGGGGUACUGUUUGAUCAGGGUGUUGCUGUCACUGGUGGAAGGUGUGUGUGUGAGUGAGUGUGUGUAGGUUUGUGGGCGGGGGGUAAUGUUUGAUCAGGGUGUUGCUGUCCAUGGUGGACGGUGAGUGGGUGUGUGCAGGUUUGAACAGGGUGUUACUGUCCAUGGUGGAAGGUGAGUGUGUGUAGGUUUGUGGGGGUGGGGUACUGUUUGAUCAGGGUGUGGCUGUCCCUGGUGGAAGGUGAGUGUGUGUGUAGCUUUGGGGGUGGGGUACUGUUUGAUCAGGGUGUGGCUGUCCCUGGUGGACGGUGGGUGUGUGUGUGUGUGUGUGCAAGUUUGAUCAGGGUGUUACUGUCCAUAGUGGAAGGUGUGUUUGUGUGUGUGUGUGUAGGUUUGGGGGUGGGGGUAAUGUUUGAUCAGGGUGUUACUAUCCAUAGUGGAAGGUGUGUUUGUGUGUGAGAGUGUGUGUGUGUGUAGGUUUGGGGGUGGGGGUACUGUUUGAUCAGGGUGUUACUAUCCAUAGUGGAAGGUGUGUUUGUGUGUGAGAGUGUGUGUGUAGGUUUGGGGGUGGGGGUAAUGUUUGAUCAGGGUGUUUCUGUCCCUGGUGGAAGGUGUGUAGGUUUGGGGGUGGGGAUAAUGUUUGAUCAGGGUGUUGCUGUCCAUGGUGGAAGGUGAGUGUGUGAGUGUGUGUGUAGGUUUGUGCCCGUGGGCACUGUUUGAACAGGGUGUUACUGUCCAUGGUGGAAGGUGAAUGUGUGUGUGUGUGUGUGUGUGCGUGCGCGCAGGUUUGGGGGUGGGGUACUGUUUGAUCAGAGUGUUACUAUCCGUGGUGGAGGUGUGUGUCUGUGUAGGUUUGGGGGCAUGGGUACUGUUUUGAUCAGGGUGUUGCUGUCCCUAGUGGAAGGUGAGUGUGUGUGUGUGUGUGUGUGUGUGUAGGUUUGGGGGUGGGGUACUGUUUGAUCAGGGUGUUACUGUCCCUGGUGGACGGUGAGUGUGUGUGUGCGCAGGUUUGAUCAGGGUGUUACUGUCCCUGGUGGAAGGUGAGUGUGUGUGUGUGUAGGUUUGGGGGUGGGGUACUGUUUGAUCAGGGUGUUACUGUCCCUGGUGGACGGUGAGUGUGUGUGUGCGCAGGUUUGAUCAGGGUGUUACUGUCCCUGGUGGAAGGUGAGUGUGUGUGUGUGUGUGUGUGUGUGUGUGUGUAGGUUUGUGGGUGUGGGUACUGUUUGAUCAGGGUGUUACUAUCCGUGGUGGAGGUGUGUGUCUGUGUAGGUUUGGGGGCAUGGGUACUGUUUUGAUCAGGGUGUUGCUGUCCCUAGUGGAAGGUGAGUGUGUGUGUGUGUGUGUGUGUAGGUUUGGGGGUGGGGUACUGUUUGAUCAGGAUGUUACUGUCCCUGGUGGACGGUGAGUGUGUGUGUGCGCAGGUUUGAUCAGGGUGUUACUGUCCCUGGUGGAAGGUGAGUGUGUGUAGGUUUGUGGGUGUGGGUACUGUUUGAUCAGGGUGUUACUAUCCAUAGUGGAAGGUGUGUUUGUGUGUGAGUGUGUGUGUGAAGGUUUGGGGGUGGGGGUAAUGUUUGAUCAGGGUGUUACUAUCCAUAGUGGAAGGUGUGUUUGUGUGUGAGAGUGUGUGUGUAGGUUUGGGGGUGGGGGUAAUGUUUGAUCAGGGUGUUUCUGUCCCUGGUGGAAGGUGUGUAGGUUUGGGGUUGGGGAUAAUGUUUGAUCAGGGUGUUGCUGUCCAUGGUGGAAGGUGAGUGUGUGUGUGUGUAGGUUUGGGGGCGUGGGUACUGUUUGAUCAGGGUGUUACUGUCCCUGGUGGAAGGUGUGUGUGUGUGUGUGUGUGUGUAGGUUUGGGUGCGUGGGUACUGUUUGAUCAGGGUGUUACUGUCCCUGGUGGAAGGCGAGUGUGUGUGUAUGUGUGUGUGCAGGUUUGAUCAGGGUGUUACUGUCCCUGGUGGAAGGCGAGUGUGUGUGUGUGUGUGUGUGUGCAGGUUUGGGGGUGGGGUACUGUUUGAUCAGGGUGUUACUGUCCAUGGUGGAAGGUGAGUGUGUAGGUUUGGGGGUGGGGUACUGUUUGAUCAGGGUGUUGCUGUCCCUGGUGGAAGGUGUGAGAGUGUGUGUGUGUAGGUUUGAGAGUGUGGGUACUGUUUGAUCAGGGUGUUUCUGUCCCUGGUGGAAGGUGUGUAGGUUUGGGGGUGGGGAUAAUGUUUGGUCAGGGUGUUGCUGUCCAUGGUGGAAGGUGAGUGUGUGUGUGUGUGUGUGUAGCUUUGGGGGUGGGGUACUGUUUGAUCAGGGUGUGGCUGUCCCUGGUGGACGGUGAGUGUGUGUGUGUGCAGGUUUGAUCAGGGUGUUACUGUCCAUGGUGGAAGGUGAGUGUGUGUGUGUGUGUGUAGGUUUGUGGCCGUGGGCACUGUUUGAACAGGGUGUUACUGUCCAUGGUGGAAGGUGUGUGUGUGUGUGUGUGUAUGUAGGUUUGUGGGUGUGGGUACUGUUUGAUCAGGGUGUUACUAUCCAUAGUGGAAGGUGUGUUUGUGUGUGUGAGUGUGUGUGUGAAGGUUUGGGGGUGGGGUAAUGUUUGAUCAGGGUGUUACUAUCCAUAGUGGAAGGUGUGUAGGUUUGGGGGUGGGGAUAAUGUUUGAUCAGGGUGUUGCUGUCCAUGGUGGAAGGUGAGUGUGUGUGUGUGUGUGUGUGUGUGUGUGUGUGUGUUGUGUGUGUGUGUAGGUUUGGGGGCGUGGGUACUGUUUGAUCAGUGUGUUACUGUCCCUGGUGGAAGGUGAGUGUGUGUGUGUGUGUGCAGGUUUGAUCAGGGUGUUGCUGUCCAUGGUGGAAGGUGAGUGUGUGUGUGUGUGUGUGUGUAGGUUUGGGGGCGUGGGUACUGUUUGAUCAGGGUGUUACUGUCCCUGGUGGAAGGCGAGUGUGUGUGUGUGUGCAGGUUUGGGGGUGGGGUACUGUUUGAUCAGGGUGUUACUGUCCAUGGUGGAGGUGUGUGUCUGUGUAGGUUUGGGAGUGGGGGUAAUGUUUGAUCAGGGUGUUGCUGUCCAUGGUGGAAGGUGUGUGUGUGUGUGUGUGUGUGUAUGUGUAGGUUUGUGAGUGUGGGUACUGUUUGAUCAGGGUGUUUCUGUCCCUGGUGGAAGGUGUGUAGGUUUGGGGGUGGGGAUAAUGUUUGAUCAGGGUGUUGCUGUCCAUGGUGGAAGGUGAGUGUGUGUGUGUGUGUGUAGCUUUGGGGGUGGGGUACUGUUUGAUCAGGGUGUGGCUGUCCCUGGUGGACGGUGAGUGUGUGUGUGUGCAGGUUUGAUCAGGGUGUUACUGUCCAUGGUGGAAGGUGAGUGUGUGUGUGUGUGUGUGUGCGCAGGUUUGAUCAGGGUGUUGCUGUCCAUGAUGGAAGGUGAGUGUGUGUGUGUGUGUGUGUAGAUUUGGGGGUGGGGUACUGUUUGAUCAAGGUGUUGCUGUCCCUGGUAGAAGGUGAGUGUGUGUGUGUGUGUGUGUGUGUGUUUGCAGGUUUGAUCAGGGUGUUACUGUCCAUGGUGAAAGGUGAGUGCGUGUAGGUUUGGGGGUGGGUACUGUUUGAUCAGGGUGUUGCUGUCCCUGGUGGAAGGUGUGUGAGUGUGUGUGUAGGUUUGUGGGUGUGGGUACUGUUUGAUCAGGGUGUUGCUGUCCCUAGUGGAAGGUGAGUGUGUGUGUGUGUGUGUGCGCGCGCCCAGGUUUGAUCAGGGUGUGGCUGUCCCUGGUGGAACGUGUGUGUGUGUGUGCAGGUAUGAUCAGGGUGUUACUGUCCAUGGUGGAAGGUGUGUGUGUGUGUAGGUUUGGGGGUGGGGUACUGUUUGAUCAGGGUGUUGCUGUCCCUGGUGGAAGGUGAGUGUGUGUGUGUGUGUAGGUUUGAUCAGGGUGUGGCUGUCCCUGGGGAUGGUGAGACUGUGUGUGUGUGUAGGUUUGGGGGUGGGGGUAAUGUUUGAGCAGGGUGUUGCUGUCCCUGGUGUAAGGUGAGUGUGUGUGUGUGUAGGUUUGAUCAGGGUGUGGCUGUCCCUGGGGAUGGUGAGACUGUGUGUGUGUGUAGGUUUGGGGACAAGGGUACUGUUUGAUCAGGGUGUUGCUGUCCCUGGUGGAAGGUGUGUGAGUGUGUGUGGGUUUGUGGGCGGGGGUACUGUUUGAUCAGGGUGUUACUGUCCCUGGUGGAAUGUGUGUGUGUGUGUGUAGGUUCGAUCAGGGUGUUACUGUCCAUCGUGGAAGGUGAGUGUGUGAAGGUGUGUGUGUGUGCAUGCGCAGGUUCGAUCAGGGUGUUACUGUCCCUGGUGGAAGGUGUGUGUGUGCGUGCGCAGGUUCGAUCAGGGUGUUACUGUCCAUGGUGGAAGGUGAGUGUGUGAAGGUGUGUGUGGGAGAGAUGUGAUUGUAUGGUUGGGCUUUGACACAGUGAGUGUUGUCAGUUGACAGAUCUUUCCCCAAGCAGCUAUAUUGCACAGGUCUUGGCUGUCUGAGGGAGGUAACUGGAGUAUCCCAGUGAAAGCCCAGGAGCAGAGAGCGGGCUACAGCUUUGAUUGUCUCUGCACCUUGCCCAGUGAGGGGAAAUGUAGGGAGUGUUUGGGCUUUUUUAAAAAAUAAAAACGAGGCCUCUCCUUUGAAAGCCUGUGGUCUAUCCUCGCAGUUUGUUGGGCAUGACCCUGGUACAUACUGCUGCUGACAAGCUGCAGUUCCAGCCACACAUUCUGUAUUCAGCUCAGAUCUGGUAUUUAAUAUGUGCGGCUCUCUGUUCCUAAGGGGGUGGGAUAGGGGUGGUAUACUCGAUGGGGAGGUGACCUACCCCAGGCUCAAUCCAAUCCCAAACCCCCGGCCACCAAAAACACAUGGCUAAUGCCACCCGAACACUGACCUCUCCGGUGUUCGCUACCAUCUUCGGCUGUAGACCUUUGUUAGUACCUUGUGCAGAAGGCUCUUGUUGGAAUGAUUGUCCUGUUCGGGGGAGUCUUGGUUACAGGGAUUUCCUCUUGAAGUCUCUAGUUUGCCCCAUCAGGCACUGACACUGAUGAUGUUGAGGGGGGAGGGGAGAGAGUGGUGGAUACAGCCGGCCUUCCACCUUUAGCCCCAGAGGCAUUUUGACCUCUGGCUGGCUGGUUUGUGGAAACACGUCCUGGCCUCUUCCCCCAGCCUUGCCCAUGGCCAUGGACCAUUGCCUGACCAGAGGAGCAGAGGCCAAGAUAACCAGCCCUGAUCACUGCACGCCUUCCUUAAUGGCUGCAAAGCACUGAGGUUCCAAGUGAAAUCCGCAGAGGUCCCCAAACCAGCCAGGUUCAUGUGUCAUUCCCUUUCAUACAUCCCUCCAGCUGUGCUGAAAGUGUAGUGAUGGAACUAUUGGAAAGAAUGUGCAUCAUGGAAAAAGCAGACUGCAUACGGUUGAAGAAUGUAUUGUCAUGAGAUUUGUAGCUAUUACUGAUUUAAGGUCCUUUUUUUGUAUAACUUUUUUAAAAGAUUAUUUUUUUGUUAACAUUACUGUUACAAGUUUUAAAAAGAAAUUACAACAAAUUUACAUUUUA